rnacentral:lncRNA from 1 species
ACAUAUUCUUCUCUGUGCUUUGUGGAUGUUUUCCUCCCACACAGUAAAAAGGUAGCUCACUUAGUGGGUUUGAUGUGGUGGAUGCUGAUAUGAGAUGGCUGUGUCCCCACCCAAAUGUCAUGUUGAAUUGUAGUUCCCAUAAUCCCCACAUGUCGUGGAGGAACCCAGUGGGAGAUAAUUGAAUUGGGGGGAGGUUUCUCACAUCCUGUUCUCCUGAUAGUCAGUGGUGCUUUUUCCCCCUUUUGCUCUGCUCUUCUCCUUGCGGCUGCCAUGUGAAUAAGGAUGUGCUUGCUUCCCCUUCUGCCAUGACUGUAAGUUUCCUGAGGCCUCCCCAGCCAUGCCAAACAGUUAGUUAAUUAGACCUCUUUCUUUAUAAAUUACCCAGUCUUGGGCAUGUCUUUAUUAGCAGCGUGAGAAGUUCUGCACAUGCAUGGCACCGUCUCCUGGGAACACUCUUGGAAAGUCAUGCCUGAUCCCUACAUCUAGAGAACCUGAAGAGAUUGAAAAGGAAGAGCAGGCUGCUGCUGCUGACAAAGCUGUUACCAUGAAGGAAUUUCAGGGUUAUUAGACUCUUCCAGAUUCCAAUUGCACUGCUGCUCAGCCUCGGAUUGCAAACUGGUCUGAAGGUGGCAGGUGCCCUGUAUGCCUGUUUAGCAGGUCCCUACGUAGGACUGGAGCAGAGCACUCAGCCUGCCAUGGACACCUGAUCUGCAGCUCCCACUGCUCUGGCCACUGAAUGGGAAGGAAGAACCACUGAGUAGUUUUAAGCUGUUCUUCCAAAGACUCUUAAGCAACAUGGAAAUAAGUCCCAGUAUGAGCAAGCCUCUACAAUAGAUUCUGGAGAAUAUCAAAGUGGAAAACAAGUGGGCCCUCCUGUUGAAGAGUUCAUUGCCUAGUACAAGGUGUGAAGAUGCCUGGAAGAGAGAGGAACCAGUUCUACCUAGAGCUGGCAUCAAUUGACAUAUCUUUGAUUUUCUCUGUAAAAACAAAGACUGAACUGGCCAAAUUAGCAGCUCAGGGUUAUGCUGAUCUUCCAGGCUGGAGGCCUUGUCCAAGAUAACAUCAUGAACAUUUUCUACCUCCUACAGAACAAUAGUACACUUGCAAUCUGCCAGACAUAUGACUGAAAUGCAGAAACAUUAAAACAAUAAUUAGUAACUCUGAUUUUACUAAUGCCUGGGCAGCUCAAAUUUCUUGACAGUUAUAACCCUAAAAUAUCUACUUGAAC